rnacentral:lncRNA from 1 species
UAAUAUGUUGCAAAGAGUUCUAAGGAGUAGAAAUAAAAAAAUAUAUUGUGGAAAAAGAAAGAAAGAAAAAAAGGAAAAAGAAAUAAAAAACUGAGAAAAAGAAAGAAAGAAAUAAAAUACUCCUCAGUUCUAUGAGCUUCACAAAGAUCCCAAGUGCUUUCAAGAUUAAGGAUUACUCCAUACUCAUUAUUCCAACCUUGUGCAAUCCGAUUACGAGGACUUCAUUUGUAUCUCGCGAUCACCCUUUGCCCUUGCAUAUGUCCACUAUCUAAAUUUGUGUGUUCAUUCUC